AGGACGAUUGUAUUUCACAUAAUACUGAGACCUUUGCAGCUGUCGUUGUACUGCUCCAUACCAACCAUUAAGUUGCUUCUGGUACCUUUCAUCACAACAAUCAAGGCAACUUUUACUCCUCUCACAACAUGUGUUAAUGCCCCUAGUCAAUGGAAGAGACUGUGGCAAUGUACAAUCAGCUUCUUGAUGAUCAUCAGAGUUGAACCUCAGCUUCCUGUAACCAUUCUUUGACCACUUCAACUUCGUCGCAGAUUCCACGCAAUUCAACAGGCCCUGAAUACUGGGUAUCUUGCGGGGGGGUGGUACAGGUUGUUUGCCGCAAAUAUCAUCAGCAACUGCAAUCUUCCAAGCACUAAUAUCACCACAAGCACUUGCUGUCUUCCGGUGCCCUGAAUACAUCUCAUCCUUGGUGUCAACUUGACUCCCGUCCACUAAGUUAGAUGAACUUUUUGAAUACUCUGGCAUUCGUUGCUUACAAUCCUCUUCCCACAAAGCUGGUUUCUGCUCAACUUCGUCAACUUUUACAGAGGAUUUGUCUGAAAAUGAUGAAGAGGUCGAUGGUCCUGAGAGAAACACGGCUAGUUCAUCGAGCUCCCUCUCAUCCAAGCGCACCCAUUGAUUGCCUUGUGAAAAAGCUGAUUCAUUUAGACUCUUCUCUACUUUCUUAAUCUGAUUAUCCAUGGCAAUAACAAAUUCACCAUGCCUUUCUUUAGCAUCAUCAGUUGAUGUAUUACUGUAGCUUGAACUAACUGCCCGAUCAAAUUCCUCCAACUGCCAUUUAGCAGUGCCAAGGGU
rnacentral:misc_RNA from 1 species